CCUACGGGAGGCAGCAGUGAGGAAUAUUGGUCAAUGGACGAGAGUCUGAACCAGCCAAGUAGCGUGAAGGAUGACUGCCCUAUGGGUUGUAAACUUCUUUUAUAAAGGAAUAAAACGAGGCACGUGUGCCUUUUUGCAUGUACUUUAUGAAUAAGGAUCGGCUAACUCCGUGCCAGCAGCCGCGGUAAUACGGAGGAUCCGAGCGUUAUCCGGAUUUAUUGGGUUUAAAGGGAGCGUAGAUGGGUUGUUAAGUCAGUUGUGAAAGUUUGCGGCUCAACCGUAAAAUUGCAAUUGAUACUGGCAGUCUUGAGUACAGUUGAGGUAGGCGGAAUUCGUGGUGUAGCAGUGAAAUGCUUAGAUAGCACGAAGAACCCCGAUUGCGAAGGCAGCUUACUAAACUGUGACUGACAUUGAUGCUCGAAAGUGUGGGUAUCAAACAGGAUUAGAUACCCUUGUAGUC
rnacentral:rRNA from 1 species